GACGAACGCUGGCGGCGUGCUUAACACAUGCCAGUCGAACGGAAAGGCCCUGCUUUUGUGGGGUGCUCGAGUGGCGAACGGGUGAGUAACACGUGAGUAACCUGCCCUUGACUUUGGGAUAACUUCAGGAAACUGGGGCUAAUACCGGAUAGGAGCUCCUGCUGCAUGGUGGGGGUUGGAAAGUUUCGGCGGUUGGGGAUGGACUCGCGGCUUAUCAGCUUGUUGGUGGGGUAGUGGCUUACCAAGGCUUUGACGGGUAGCCGGCCUGAGAGGGUGACCGGCCACAUUGGGACUGAGAUACGGCCCAGACUCCUACGGGAGGCAGCAGUGGGGAAUAUUGCACAAGGGGCGGAAGCCUGAUGCAGCAACGCCGCGUGCGGGAUGACGGCCUUCGGGUUGUAAACCGCUUUCGCCUGUGACGAAGCGUGAGUGACGGUAAUGGGUAAAGAAGCACCGGCUAACUACGU
rnacentral:rRNA from 1 species